rnacentral:rRNA from 1 species
AUUGAACGCUGGCGGCAGGCCUACCACAUGCAAGUCGAACGCGUGGCGGACGGGUGAGUAAUGUCUGGGACACUGCCCGAUGGAGGGGUAUAACUACUGGAACCGGUAGCUAAUACCGCAUACCAUCGGAUGUGCCCAGAGGGGUUUAGCAAGUAGGUGGGGUAACGGCUCACCUAGGCUACGAUCCCUAGCUGGUCUGAGAGGCUGACCAGCCACACUGGAACUGAGACACGGGCCAGACUCCUACGGGAGGCAGCAGUGGGGAAUAUGGCACAAUGGGCGCAAGCCUGAUGCAGCCAGGCCGCGUGUAUGAAGAAGGCCUUCGGGUUGUAAAGUACUUUCAGCGGGGAGGCGUUACUCGCAGAAGAAGCACCGGCUAACUCCGUGCCAGCAGCCGCGGUAAUUC